CUUAAUUUGCUGAGCAGUAUUAUGUUGAAUGCAUUUUAAUUCAUUGCGUCGAUAAAUUGCUUUAAAAACUUAAAUAUCACAUACUUUUAUGUUCUCUUUUUCAGCUUAUAUUUAUAGUACUGAUCGUGGAUUUCCUUCCACUAUGUGUAAGCUUAGUAUUUCAAAAUGCUGAAGAAGAACGGCCAAAUUUGUUAGUAAUUGAAGACGAUGCCUGAGAAACUUUUAUAGGAAACUUUUUUGGAAACGGCUUUGGAUCUAUUUUUUCCCUACUUUUUUUCCAAUCUUUGAUUACGGUACCUAUGAUGGCUAUGAUGGGAAUGAUGAUUCCCAGUACAACAACUAGUGUCAGUCAGGUAACUUUGACUCCAACAAUGCAAGCCUUAUCAACAACGCAAACCUCAUCAACAACAAAUACACCAUGUAUUCAAACAAAUUGCCCUAAUGGUUAUGUGUUGCUUACUGACCAAAAUGCUAGCCCUAAUUGUUACCUGUAUAGUGGAAAUACUGAGAAAUCAUGGUAUAACGCUUGGAGGACAUGUGCCAUGACUCCUGGAGC